rnacentral:rRNA from 1 species
AGCAGCCGCGGUAAUUCCAGUUCCAAUAGCGUAUAUUAAAGUUGUUGCAGUUAAAAAGCUCGUAGUUGAACCUCGGGGUCUACCCAUUGGUCAGGCUUAAUUGUCUGCACUGGUGAGAUGGAUCUCUACCUUCUGAGGAACUUUCAUGCCAUUUAUUUGGUGUGAUGGGAAAUCAGGACUGUUACUUUGAAAAAUUGAGUGUUUAAAGCAGACUAUCGUCUGAAUACAUUAGCAUGGAAUAAUGAAAUAGGACGGACUGAUUCUACUUCGUUGGUUUCUAGGAUCACCGUAAUGAUUAAUAGGGAUAGUUGGGGGCAUUAGUAUUCAAUUGUCAGAGUGAAAUUCUUGGAUUUAUUGAAGACUAACUACUGCGAAAGCAUUUGCCAAGGAUGUUUUCAUUAAUCAAGA